GGCCCGGUGGCGUAAUGGUAGCGCGUCUGACUACGAUUCAUGAAAUCAGCAAUCAGGAGGCUGCAGGUUCGAGACCUGCCCGAGUCG
rnacentral:tRNA from 1 species